UGGGGGAUUUUCCGCAAUGGGCGAAAGCCUGUCGGAGCAAGACCGCGUGAGGGAGGAAGGCCUUUGGGUUGUAAACCUCUUUUCUCAGGGAAGAAGAAAGUGACGGUACCUGAGGAAUCAGCCUCGGCUAACUCCGAGCCAGCAGCCGCGGUAAUACGGAGGAGGCAAGCGUUAUCCGGAAUUAUUGGGCGUAAAGCGCCCGCAGGUGGUUUUUCAAGUCCGCUGUCAAAGACCGGAGCUCAACUCCGGAGAGGCAGUAGAAACUGAGAAACUAGAGACCGGUAGGGGUAGAGGGAAUUCCCAGUGUAGCGGUGAAAUGCGUAGAGAUUGGGAAGAACACCAGUGGCGAAAGCGCUCUACUGGGCCGGUACUGACACUCACAGGACGAAAGCUAGGGGAGCGAAAGGGAUUAGAUACCCGGGUAGUCC
rnacentral:rRNA from 1 species